UUUCCGUAGGUGAACCUGCGGAAGGAUCAUUAAAGUUAUAGUCCCCCGGCCCUCUGUGCUGGGGUCUUCUAUACCACCCUUUGUUUAUUACACCUUUGUUGCUUUGGCAGGCCUGCCCUCGGGCUGCUGGCUCCGGCCGGCUCGCGUCUGCCAGAGGACCUAAACUCUGUUUGUAUAUGAAGUCUGAGUACUAUAUAAUAGUUAAAACUUUCAACAACGGAUCUCUUGGUUCUG
rnacentral:misc_RNA from 1 species